rnacentral:rRNA from 1 species
AGUGAACGCUGGCGGUAGGCCUAACACAUGCAAGUCGGACGGCAGCACAGUAAGAGCUUGCUCUUACGGGUGGCGAGUGGCGGACGGGUGAGGAAUACAUCGGAAUCUACUUUUUCGUGGGGGAUAACGUAGGGAAACUUACGCUAAUACCGCAUACGACCUACGGGUGAAAGCAGGGGAUCUUCGGACCUUGCGCGAUUGAAUGAGCCGAUGUCGGAUUAGCUAGUUGACGGGGUAAAGGCCCACCAAGGCGACGAUCCGUAGCUGGUCUGAGAGGAUGAUCAGCCACACUGGAACUGAGACACGGUCCAGACUCCUACGGGAGGCAGCAGUGGGGAAUAUUGGACAAUGGGCGCAAGCCUGAUCCAGCCAUACCGCGUGGGUGAAGAAGGCCUUCGGGUUGUAAAGCCCUUUUGUUGGGAAAGAAAAGCAGCAGGUUAAUACCCCGCUGUUCUGACGGUACCCAAAGAAUAAGCACCGGCUAACUUCGUG